rnacentral:lncRNA from 1 species
CUUAGAGCAAGAGAUACAAAAAUAAAAUUGUUAUCAAGUGUUUCAUUUAGGGCAUGUUUGUUUCAACGUAAGUAGACUUGGGUGGAAGUGGACUUUGGGUUAAAGUAGAGUUUAGGUGAAAAUCAAUUCAUUUCCGCUGUUUGUUUCUAACUAUGAAAAUGCAGUUCUGUGAGUUCUGUUGUUUGUUUGGUAGGAAAUAGAUGACGUGAAAAAGUGUAGUUCUCCACCCCCGGUACACUUACCUCCGAAUUAAUAUUAUUGUCUAUUUUGUAACUUAGUGAAUAAUAAAUUAUAAUAAAUAAAAAUUAAUAUAAUU